rnacentral:lncRNA from 1 species
GAGGAAGAAAUGGAGAAGUAGGCCGCCGGAGAGAGGAGGAGGGAUCGUGCAGGGCGGUCGGAGUCGGCGAGGGAGCAGAGAGAAUCGGCGGCGGAGGAGUCGGACGGGAGGAGGAGGGAGGAGAGGAGGUGAAUGCGAGAACGAGCUUUGGAGAUGGAUUCCCACCAAGAAUGCAUGGGGUUCGGAUCAUUAUUGUUGUUGUUGUUGUUGAUGAUCGGAGUGCCGCCGUUUUGGUGGUGGUGGUUGGAAGUGGAGGGGGUUUGAACGGUGGAGGAAGUGGAGGAAGAAGGGGAGUCGCCGGAGAUUUGGGAAUUUAGGGUGAUAUCCAUAGGGAUUAGGAGGGUGGGU